GUAACAUGUGGGAAUCUGCCUUGUGGCUCAGGACAACAUUGGGAAACCGAUGCUAAUACUGGAUAAGCCCUUACGGGGAAAGUUUUAAUGCCAUAAGAUGAGCCCGCAUUUGAUUAGUUAGUUGGUGAGGUAAUGGCUCACCAAGACAAUGAUCAAUAGCUGAUCUGAGAGGAUGAUCAGCCACACUGGGACUGAGACACGGCCCAGACUCCUACGGGAGGCAGCAGUGGGGAAUCUUGCACAAUGGAGGAAACUCUGAUGCAGCGAUGCCGCGUGAGUGAAGAAGGCCUUUGGGUUGUAAAGCUCUUUUGUAGGGGAAGAUAAUGACUGUACCCUAAGAAUAAGGUCCGGCUAACUUCGUGCCAGCAGCCGCGGUAAUACGAAGGGACCUAGCGUAGUUCGGAAUUACUGGGCGUAAAGCGCGCGUAGGCCGUUGAGUUAGUUAAUUGUGAAAUCCCAAAGCUUAACUUUGGAACUGCAAUUAAAACUGCUCGACUAGAGUUUGAUAGAGGAAAGCGGAAUACAUAGUGUAGAGGUGAAAUUCGUAGAUAUUAUGUAGAACACCAGUUGCGAAGGCGGCUUUCUGGAUCAACACUGACGCUGAGGCG
rnacentral:rRNA from 1 species